rnacentral:rRNA from 1 species
AUUGAACGCUGGCGGCAGGCCUAACACAUACAAGUCGAGCGGAUGACGGGAGCUUGCUCCUUGAUUCAGCGGCGGACGGGUGAGUAAUGCCUAGGAAUCUGCCUGGUAGUGGGGGACAACGUUUCGAAAGGAACGCUAAUACCGCAUACGUCCUACGGGAGAAAGCAGGGGACCUUCGGGCCUCGCGCUAUCAGAUGAGCCUAGGUCGGAUUAGCUAGUAGGUGAGGUAAUGGCUCACCUAGGCGACGAUCCGUAACUGGUCUGAGAGGAUGAUCAGUCACACUGGAACUGAGACACGGUCCAGACUCCUACGGGAGGCAGCAGUGGGGAAUAUUGGACAAUGGGCGAAAGCCUGAUCCAGCCAUGCCGCGUGUGUGAAGAAGGUCUUCGGAUUGUAAAGCACUUUAAGUUGGGAGGAAGGGCAGUAAGCGAAUACCUUGCUGUUUUGACGUUACCGACAGAAUAAGCACCGGCUAACUCUGUGCCAGCAGCCGCGGUAACAC